rnacentral:tRNA from 1 species
AAGAUUUUAAGUUAUUACAAACUUUAAACCUUCAAAGUUUAACAAAUAAAUUUUUAAACUUUUAUAAAUCUUA